rnacentral:tRNA from 1 species
AUUUUUAUAGUUUAAUAUAAAACAUUAUUUUUUCAUAAUAAAAAUAUAUUAUCUUAAUAUUAAAAAUA